UCGUUUCGAUCAGCGGUCAGCCAUUUUGUAGUGAUGUGUUUUUCCACCUUAAAGAAAUCUCUUUACUGAGUUAAUUUUGUCAAUAGAUAUGCCUGUAAUUAAAAAAGUUAUUUAUGCCAGGGAUCCUCUUUUCAAGAUGUAAAGUUUUUAAAAAGUUGAAACUUCCCUUUAUACUUAUUCAUCAUUGGAUAUAUAUGUAAUAUUGCGAUGUUGUGUUUCAAGCAACUACAGUUAAAGAAAGAAAAUUUCUUAGCUGUUAUGAACUUAUGCUGUUUUGUGUAAUAAACCUGCUUUGUUUCAAGAUACCUGGUGUUUAUUUUAUCAGAAAAUUAAACGUAGAAUGUAUUCCGUUUAGAUAUAAAAGAAUUUUACCAUGCACCCUUGGUUUCCCCUUGUAGUUUCAUGGAGUAACAAUAGUUAAUGAUGUACUCAAGCUGCAAAAAGCAAAGGGAUGAGUUAAACCUUGUAAUCUUCCAUUUCAAACUUUGCUUGUUGUAAAAGUUGUAACCACAUAAUUUUUCAUGUUUGAUGAUUAUGAUAAACAAAUCAUAUUUUUUUAACAUAGGCCUGGAGGAUUUUUUGUUUAAAAUAGGAUUUUGCAUGUUGAGGAUUGUUGGGUUUUUUUCUGUAUAAUUGCUACUAGUCAAGAAUAACAUCAUGAAACUAUAAGCAUGGGCAGUUCAUAUCACUAGAUGGCUUUGGAAGGAAAAUGUGUACAUCUUGUUUUUAAUGCUAUUCAUCUGUUUGUUGUUAAUUUUGACACAGGAUGUGUGAAUUAUUUUCAAUGUUGGACAACUUUUUUUUUGCAAAAUGUGAUACUAGUUAAUUGUAAGCAUGAGUGCAUAUACAUGGGUAUGCUGCUUUGUGUAUAUACAUGUACAUGAGAAUAAAUGUUUUCAGC
rnacentral:sRNA from 1 species